rnacentral:lncRNA from 1 species
CAGAGCAAUGUGUAGAAAAAUAUCAUCUUUGUGCUCCCUUUUUCCCUUAGGGUGCAGUGUGCUUUGAAGACGUAGCUGUUCCUUUCACAGAGGAGGACUGGGCUUUGCUGGAUCCUGACCAGAGAGCUCUGCAGAAGGAAGUCAAGGAGGAGAAUUGUGGGAUCGUGGCCUCUCUGGUAAGGCUCCCUGCUGGAUCAUAAGAUCAGUUUUGAAAUUCCAUACAGAUCUCUGAAGGACAAACCUCCUCUAUUUUGAGGGAGCCCCAUAGCGCCACCUACAGCAUCUGAGAUGUUAACACACCCACAACUCUCCAUAGGAGAUGUAUCUCCUGUUCUGUCUGGGAAUAUUCUUCCACCAGUCCUGCCUUUUCCAACCAUGAGGAGGCUGCUCUGAGCUGCCCAGGCCUUCUUCAGUGUAAUCUUCAGAGAUAUUAAGGACAUGGAAGUACAUCCUGUCUAAUUUUCUGUUUCCCUUUCUGCAUCUGUCUGUUUUUGGUUGAGCAAAGAAAUGACUGAGCUUGGAGAUGGAGCGGAUUCCACGACUGAGCCAAAUUACAUCCAUCCCUGGAACGAGCCAGGCUUUUCGAAUCUCCGGGUCCCAUAAAUACGUUAGCUAAUACCAGCCAAAAAAGGCAGUAACUCCCUUCCCUUCUUCCUCUUUCACAAACAUUCAUUUGCAUUGUUCAAUCAUUUCAGACUCUAUCUAUUCCUGAGGCUAUUAUUAUUUAAUUAAUUAAUUAAUUAAUUAAUAAUACUGCCGUGGGUUGUAGGUGGUGAAUUGGAAAGGAAGAAGAAUGGAGACAACAAGAAAAAUCCACACAAUGGAGAAACCAUAUAAAUAUUCAGUGUGUGGAGAGAACUUUAGUCGGAGCUCCCAGUCCACUUCCCAUCAAGGAAAGCUCUUCGUUCAGAAGGAGAGCCUCACUUCACAUGAAAGAACUAACGGGGGGAAGAAAUUAGUGCUUGAAACGUGAGGAAAGCUUCCUUCGCAGCUCCAUUCUCAAUUCCCAAGAGAUACUUCAUACAGGGGAGUGUUUGGAAAAAGCUUCACCUGGAAAACCUGUCUCAGUUUCCAUUCAAUAAAUCACAGCAAGGAUAAUCACAGAAUUUUAGAAAAUGGUAUAAGGCAUAAGGUAUAACUGGUAUAAGGAAACUUGAUGAGGAAUUAAGCGGAAAGACAGUGUUGACCCAGAGUAGUUACAAAAUGUAUGUUCUCUCCCCGAGUGCCACAGACCCUCCUCCAAAGAAAGCUUCUCUAAAGAAAGCACAAGCAAAAAUUACUCCAUUUUACGUGAAUAAGAAAACGAGGAGGUGGCUAAGAAACAGCAGGAGCCAGAUCCUAUUACUGACCUUAUAGGAUCUCUCAGCAGCUCUAAGGAUGAGCAGAAAGAGGUUUUGGGCCCAGGCAGCUCAACUGCUAAGUCAUCUCUGGCACUGAGACCAGGAGCUCAAGCGACUCAAGGCCAAAUUCAGGCUAAACAAGUAGAGGAACUAAUCUGAAAGCAAAAUUCAAAAUUAAAGCAAGUAUAAAAGACUGCUACUCCCAAACUUCUGGGACAAAAGAGGGAUUAUCAGUCUUUGUUUUUUUUUUUUUUAAAUAAAUUUUUAUUAAUUUUCCAAACACAAAAUAAAAAAAAAAAAAAACAAUACACAAUACACCGACAUACAAACAUAUAAACAUGUAUAAUUUCAUAACCAUUUUUUCAUAAACCUUACUUUCCGGACUUCCCCAUACCUCCCCUUUUCUGCAUCCUUGUUUUAUAUUUCUUCAGCAACUCCUCAGUCGACUAAUUAUUCAAUUCAAUUUCUUUUAAGUUCUUCUAAUAUUGUUAAUUACAGCUGCAAUUCUCUGUUUCCCAACCCCUUGACAUUUUAACAUUCCUGAAUUUUACAACAAGUUCUAAGAUAAACUUUGAAUUUCUUCCAAUCUUCUUCCACUGUCUCUUUCCCCUGGUCACGGAUUCUGCCAGUCAACUCCGCCAGUCCCAUGUAGUCGAUCACCUUCGUCUGCCAUUCUUCCAGUGUGGGUAGUUGUUGUGUCUUCCAAUACUUUGCUAGAAGAAUCCUUGCUGCUGUGGUCGCAUACAUAAAAACGUCCUGUCCUUCCUUCUCACCAAUUGGCCGACAAUGCCCAGGAGAAAAGCCUCAGGUUUUUAGGGAAGGUCCAUUUAAGAACCUUCUUAAUUUCAUUAUAGAUCAUUUCCCAAAAAGCUUUUAUCCUCGGGCAGGUCCACCAAAGGUGAUAAAAAGUACCUUCAGUCUCAUUACAUUUCCAACAUUUGUUAUUGGGCAGAUGAUAAAUUUUUGCAAGCUUGACUGGGGUCAUGUACCACCUAUACAUCAUUUUCAUAAUGUUUUCUCUUAAGGCAUUACAUGCCGUAAAUUUAGUACCGGUGGUCCACAGCUGUUCCCAGUCAGCAAACAUAAUGUUAUGACCAAUAUCUUGUGCCCAUUUUAUCAUAGCUGAUUUCACCGUUUCAUCCUGUGUGUUCCAUUUCAACAGCAGAUUAUACAUUCUCGACAGAUUCUUAGUAUUGGGUUCUAACAGUUCUGUUUCUAAUUUUGACCUCUCCAUCUGGAAACCUAUUUUCCUGUCCUGUUUAAAUGUCUCGUUUAUCUGAAGGUAGUGCAACCAAUCUCGCACUUUGGACUUUAAUUUCUCAUAACUCUGUAAUUUAACUUUUUCCCCAUCUUGUUCUAAAAUUUCACAAUAUUUUGGCCAUUUAGACUCCAUAUUAAGUUUUUUCACCUCUUUAGCUUCCAUUGGUGACAACCACCUGGGAGUUUUACUUUCCAAUAAAUCUUUAUACCGCAUCCAAACAUUAUAUAAUGCUUUCCUAACAAUAUGGUUUUUGAAACCUUUAUGCAGUUUUACCUUAUCAUACCAUAUAUAUGCAUGCCAGCCAAAUCUAUUGUCAAACCCUUCUAGAUCCAAAAUGUCUGUAUUCUCAAGAAGUAGCCAAUGUUUCAACCAGCAGAAAGCCGCCGAUUCAUAGUAGAGUCUUAAGUCCGGCAGGGCAAACCCCCUCUAUCUUUUGCAUCAGUUAGAAUCUUAAAUUUUAUUCUGGGCUUUUGCCCUGCCAGACAAAUUUAGAUAUAUCUUUCUGCCACUUCUUGAAACAGUCCAUCUUGUCCAAAAUCUGCAAUGUCUGGAAUAAAAACAACAUUCUAGGCAAUACAUUCAUCUUGAUAACAGCAAUUCGACCUAACAAAGAGAGUUUCAACCUUGACCAUAUUUCUAGAUCUUUCUUUACCUCUGUCCAACAUUUGUCAUAAUUGUCCUUAAAUAAAUUCACAUUCUUAGAUGUUAAGUUUACCCCCAGAUACUUUACUUUUUCGUUAUCACUAAACCUGUUUCAUUCUGAAACUUCUCUUUUUCAGCCAAUGUUAAAUUUUUGUCCAACACUUUCGUUUUCUGUUUGUUCAGUUUAAAUCCUGCUACUUGACCAAAUAUCUCAAUUAGUUCUAAUACUCUUUUAGUACUAGUAUCUGGCUGUUGCAAGGUCAGUACUAGGUCAUCUGCAAAUGCCCUUAGCUUGUAAUGUCUAGCUCCGACUUGUACUCCUUUAACCAACUGGUCUCCUCUAAUCAUGUUUAACAAAACCUCCAGGACUAAUAUAAAAAGUAAAGGGGAUAUUGGGCACCCCUGUCGUGUACCUUUUUCUAUAGAUAUUUCUUCCGUAACCACAUUGUUUACAAUUAACUUUGCUUUUUGUUUAGAAUAUAUUGCACCUAUACCGUUUUCAAACCCUUGACCUACCCCCAUCCCUUGGAGAUUCUUCUUCAUAAAGCUCCAACCAAUAUUAUCAAAGGCUUUCUCCGCGUCCACAAAAAUUAAAACAGCCUUCCUAUUGAUGUCCACUUCUAACAGUUCCAAAAUGUCUAUAAUGUUCCUCACAUUGUCCGACAUAUGUCUCCCUGGAAGAAAGCCAGUUUGGUCCUUAUGAAUCUCCCCUACCAACACUCUCUUCAGUCUUUUUGCCAUAAUGUCUGCAAAAAUUUUGUAAUCCACAUUGAGUAAUGAUAUAGGGCGGUAGUUUUUAACCUGGUUCUUUUCAGUCUCAGUUUUCGGUAUAAGUGAAAUAAAGGCUUCUUUCCACGACUCUGGUGCCUUUUUCCCUCCAAAAUUUCAUUACAUACUUCCUUCAGUGGUUGUACUAACCAUUCCUUCAACGCUUUAUAAUAUCUGGCGGUCAAACCAUCUGGUCCUGGAGAUUUUCCCAAUUGCAUCUUCUGAAUGGCACCCUCUAUUUCUUGUCCUGUUAUUUUCUCAUUCAAAAUCCUUCUGCUUUGCUCUGAAAUUUUUGGUAAUCCAUGUUUCUUAACAAAUUCUUCUAUUUCCUGUUCGUUGACUGGCCCUUGUGCAUAUAAUUUCCUGAAGUAACUUUGAAAACAAUUACUUAUCUCGUUUGGUUUGUGGAUAAUCUUUCCAUCCACUUCUAAACUUGUCACAGUGUUCAGUUUUUGCCUCUUUUUCAAUUGCCAUGACAGAAAUUUCCCACAUUUAUCUGCUGAUUCAAAUGUCUUUUGUCUCAUUUGCUUUAUUUUCCAUUCUAUCUCUUGAUUCAUCAAUUCCAUAUAUUGCACCUGAUAGUGCUUUAUUUCUCUCAGAAUCUCAUGGGACUUUGGUUUAGACCUCAAUUUCUUUUCACCUUCUUUUAUUUUUUCCCGAAUUUUGCCUUCCUUUCAUUUUGUUUUUUGCUUUUUAUGGAGUUCUGUUGUAUUAGGAAACCUCGCAUCACGGCCUUACUUGCGUCCCAGAUUAUUCUUUUUCCACUUCUGUUCUCAAAUUUAUCUCAAAGUAAUCUUUCAGUGUUUUUUGGGCCUUCUUAUAAAUCUCUUCAUCUCUAAAUAGGGUGUCAUUCAUUCUCCAUCUAAAGGAUCCAGUUGAUGUUAGUUUCAUCUCCAUCUUUACAGCAUUAUGGUCGGAGCAAGUCUUUGAGCAGAUUUCUACCUUUUUGAUCCUUGGCGCCAUACUGCUAGUUACCCAAAUUUGGUCAAUUCUUGUCCAUGUCAUUUUUGCUUCAGAGAAAAAUGUUCCCUCUCUCUCAAGAGGGUUCCUUGUUCUCCAAAUGUCAAUCAAGUCCAUAGUUUCUGUCAUUUCAAAAAAGUCUUUGGUAGUCUCCCUUCCUUGGAAAUUACUUGUCUCUGUGCUUUGUCCAUAUUUGUGGAAACUACACCAUUCAUGUCUCCCAUCAUUACUACUCUAUAGUCUAGAUAGUCCAUUAAAGUCUCAUGCAACUUCUUAAAGAAUUCCGCCUUCCCGUCAUUUGGUGCAUAAAUUCCGACUAUCAAGAUUUUUUCUCCUUGAACUUGUAUUUCAAUUGCCAGGUAUCUUCCUUGUUCAUCUUUAAAUAUCAUCUUUGGAGCCAAUUUUUCUUUUGCAUAAAUCACCACGCCUCUUUUCUUAACUUUGUCUGAUGAAAUAAAUUCCUGUCCAAGUCUCUUGUUUACCAAUAAUUUCCUAUGUGUCCUGGUCACAUGGGUCUCUUGUAGACAUAUUAGGUCUAAUUGUUCUCUUUUCAAAAUAUGAAAAACUUGGCGUCUUUUUCGGGAAGGUUCAAACCAUUACAAUUCCAGCUAAGAAGUUGCAGAGACAUUUUGUUAUUAAGUACCUGUUCCUCCGACUGCUCCUAGCUUUUGUUCAUCUUCAGAUGGUGGUAUGAGUCCAAAUGACAAGUUUGCAAUGUCUGUCACUCCUUUUUCUUGUAUUGUUGUUUCUACUGUUCCUUUCUGCAAGUCCUCCUGAUAUCUCUCCAAAAACUGUUCUUUAUCUUGAACUGUUCUUAUUUUGACCUUCCUUCCUUUGAAGUUAAAAGACAAUCCUUGUGGAAACUCCCACCUGAAGGGUAUGAUAUUUUUCUUCAGCAGGUAGACCAAAUCUUUAUAGAAGGCUCUCACCUCCAAAAUAUAUUUAGGGAUAUCUUUAAAAAUUUGUACUUGACUAUUUUCAAUCUCCAAUGCCUUUUGGUAAUGCAAGUUCAAUAUUUUAUCUCUUUCUCCUUUGGAUCUCAAUGUGAUCAAACAAUCCCUUGGCUUCUUACCUUGCCUCCUGCCCAGCCGGAAAGCUGUUGUUAUUUCAAAUUCUUCUUCCUGCAGCUCCUCUUGCCAAAAUUCCGUAAAGUUCUGUGUAAGGAAGUCCACAAGGCUGUCUCCCUCACUCUCGGGAACCAAUCUCAAUUUCAAAUUUCUCUCUUUUCUCUGUAAUUCCAGCAAAGAUAGGGCUGCAUCAUGUUCAUUCACUUUUUUUGUAAUCGGCACAAGCUCCUCCCUUGUCUCCUCUGCAGUAUUUUUUGCACUUUCAGCAAUCUUUCGUGUUUCAGAACUUUCUUGAAUUAAUUUAUUAAUAGAUUCUGUAUUAGAUGUUACACUUGCAGUAUUCAAGUCCAAUCUUGCUGUCAGUUCUGUCAAUUUUUUUGAAUUUUCCGUAGAUAGCUUUGUCAGUGCUUCUAAAGAUUGGUUUAUUUUGAGCAGUGCCUGUGUCAUUGAAUCCAUAGAUGCUGUUGCCACUUUUUCCUGUGCAGCUGGUGGUAUGCCAGGUAUUGAGCCCCUUUUCUUUUGUGUCUGUUUUGCUUUGGAUCUAGUUGUUAUCUCUUCUGCUGGACCACUCCAUAUCCUCAAGGUCGUUCUCACAGGAAAGACUUGCAAGUGGAAAAUCCCACUGUUUCUUUUUCACUGUAACAGUUUCUCUUUAUACCCUCUAGAGGGAGCAUUUAAUUGUAUCCAAGUGAAAAGAGAAAGAACAAGGAAACAUAGAGCAAUCAACAAAAAAUCCAAGAGUCCACAGUAAAAGUUUCUGUCGCACUUUUUCAGUAUAGUCACAAGUUCAACAAAGUAAUUCCAUUAAAGUCCCGUAACUUUGUCUCAGACAAAACCCCAACUUUGUAUCCAGUCUAAACUGACAGUUCACUUUCCCGGUGCCUUACUCAGGCAGUCCGUCCUGGGGAUUUGGCAGUGGAAGAUGUUUUUUCCUCAGUUAAUUUCAGGCAGAUUAACAGUGUCCAGUUUUCUUCCCCCCUUCUCCUGCUUACUGGGGGGAAGUUUAAGUCAAAUGUCAGGUUUGACAGCUCAAAGAUAAUUUUCUUUCAAAUGCAGCUUUACUCUUUCGUUGCUUUAAUUGCCAUGCAGAUCGGGGAGGCAGACUUCCUUAAUUUAUGCCUUUCCCGUUUUCAGCCAAAUUUCAGGAUUUAAAUUUAAAUGUCCCGUUCAGUCCCUCCGUCUUACUCACGGGGUUUACAGUCGAAUUUCUGGUUCAGGAAGAAAUCGGCGCUCUCCGUUCAUGGCGACGCGGCUUCACUCCACGGGCUGGGUUGCGACUCUCAGCACCGCGCUCACCCCGAUGCCGCUCCGUAGCCUUUAAAAGGCUCUUUCACAGUACCGGGGCGCAAAGGUGCCCACCGAGUCUCCUUGUUCACAGGCUUCAGCGCCUGUGAUUUUAGGGGUCCCCCGCUCGCCGUAGCGGGUCAGACCCAAACUCGCGGAGCAGUCCUCCUCCGGAGCUCGAAGCGAGGACCGCCAUUAAACGCUGGCGCCGACCGGAAGUCCACCCAAAGAUUAUCAGUCUUUGGGUGGCUUGUAGUACUAACAGAUUGCAUGGAACACUUAUAAUCCUUUUUGGCUGACUGUAAUAAAAUUCUUACCAUCCUGAUAGGUACUUGUAAAACCUUCUGAAUAAAAUCUAGCAGAGUCUGUGGAACCAGAUAAUACAACAAUUUCUCUUUCCAUACCAUUAAAAAUAGAUCAAUAAGGGAGGUUUGAUUCGUCCACAUGGCAAAAGGAGGUCUAUAAGUACAAAGAAGAGCAAAAGUCUUAAAAAUUUUAAAAAUAGUGCAAUAUUAAAAAGUUGACUUGAAAAUACUUUUUAACUUACUUAAGAGCAGCUCAUGCUCUUUUUUUUUAAAGAUAUUUAUUAGAAUUUCACAAGAAAAGGAUCACAUUAAUAAGAAAAUUAACAAUAGAAAGAAAAAUACAGAAUACAAAGUACAAAAAAGAAAAAGAAAAAACAGUUAAAAACAAUUCCAUCUUUUCAUCACUUCUUUUACGUUUACUUGUUUCCCGGACCUCCUCAUACCUCCCUCUUUUGUAUUCCAAUUCAGUUUGUUAGUCCAGCAAUUCCUUUCCCUCCUUUUUAAUCCUGAUCUUAAUCUUAAUAUAUUAUAACAUUAACAUUUACCUAUUAAAAACCAAUUUUUCCAAUUCUUUUAACCAUUACUGCUAGAAACCGCUUAACUUCAAUCCGUCAUCAUUCUAACAUUCAUUAAUUUUACAAUAUUUCUGUAAGUAGUCUUUAAAUUUCUUCCAAUCUUCUUCCACCGACUCUUCUCCCUAGUCUCGUAUUCUGCCAGUUAUUUCCGCCAAUUCCAUAUAGUCAUCAUUUUCAUCUGCCAUUCCUCCAGUGUGGGUAGAUCUUGUGUCUUCCAAUACUUUGCAAUAAGUAUUCUUGCUGCUGUUGUAGCAUACAUAAAGAAAGUUCUGUCCUUCUUUAACACCGAUUGGUCGACUAUGCCCAGGAGAAAGGCCUCUGGUUUCUUCAAGAAGGUAUAUUUAAAUACCUUUUUAAAUUCAUUAUAAAUCAUCUCCCAGAAAACCUUAAUCCUUGGGCACGUCCACCAAAGGUGAAAGAAUGCACCUUCAGUUUCUUUACAUUUCCAACAUUUAUUAUCGGGCAAAUGAUAGAUUUUUGCAAGCUUGACUGGUGUCAUGUACCACCUGUAUAUCAUUUUCAUAAUAUUCUCUCUUUUUCAGGGCUUUCGCUUCCAUCGGUGACAGCCACCUUGGGGUUUUAUUUUCCAAUAAGUCCUUAUAUCUUAUCCAAACAUUAAACAAAGCUUUCCUAACAAUAUGGUUUUUAAAUGCUUUAUGUGCUUUGACCUUAUCAUACCACAGAUAUGCAUGCCAUCCAAAUACAUUGUUAAAACCUUCUAGAUCCAAAAUGUCAGUGUUUUCAAGAAGCAGCCAUUCUUUCAACCAGCAAAAAGCUGCUGAUUCAUAAUAAAGUUUAAGGUCUGGCAGGGCAAAUCCACCUCUUUCCUUUGCAUCUGUUAGUAUUUUAAAUUUUAUUCUGGGCUUCUUGCCCUGCCAGACAAAUCUAGAAAUAUCUCUCUGCCACCUCUUGAAACAGUCCAUUUUGUCCACAACUUGCAAUGUUUGAAACAUAAACAACAUUCUGGGCAAUACAUUCAUUUUUAUCGCAGCAAUAUGGCCCAGCAGUGAAAGCUUCAAAUUUGACCAAAUUUCUAAAUCUUUUUUCACUUCAGCCCAACAUUUCUCAUAGUUAUCUUUAAAUAAAUUCCCAUUUUUGCUGUCAUAUUAAUCCCCAGGUAUUUAACUUUCUUAACCACUGUUAAACCUGUCACAUUCUGAAACCUCUCUCUCUCCAUUGGUGUUAAAUUUUUCUCUAAAACCUUAGUUUUUAAUUUAUUCAAUUUAAACCCUGCAACUUGACCAAAUUCUUGAAUCAAUUCUAAAACCCUUUUGGUACUAGAUUCUGGCUCCUGUAACGUCAAUACUAAAUCAUCUGCAAAUGCUCUCAAUUUGUACUGUUUAGCUCCGACCUGUAUACCUUUAACCAACCGGUCCCUUCUAAUCAUGUUCAGCAAAACCUCCAGGACCGAAAUAAAAAGCAAUGGGGAAAUUGGGCAACCUUGUCGUGUCCCUUUUUCUAUCUUAAAUUCUUCUGUCACCACAUUAUUUACAAUUAAUUUAGCCUUUUGUUCUGAGUAAAUUGCACUUGUACAGUUUUCAAAGCCUUGGCCUACCCCCAUACCCUGUAGGUUCUUCUUCAUAAAACUCCAAGAAAUGUUGUCAAAAGCUUUCUCCGCAUCCACAAAUAUCAUAACUGCUUUAGUAUUUAUGUUCACUUCUAGUUUUUCCAAAAUAUCGAUUCUAUUCCUCAAAUUGUCAGACAAGUGUCUUCCCGGGAGAAAGCCCGCUUGGUCUUUAUGAAUCUCUUCCAUCAACCCUUUUUUCAAUCUCUUAGCCAAAAUGUCUGCAAAAAAUUUGUAAUCCACAUUAAGUAAUGAUAUGGGGCGGUAGUUCUUAAGCUGCGUCUUUUCAGUCUCUGUUUUCGGUACAAGUGUAAUAUAAGCUUCUUUCCACGACUCUGGUGCCCUUUCCCCUCCAUUAUUUCAUUGCAGACCUCUUUCAAAGGUUGUACUAGCCAUUCUUUCAAGGAUCUGUAAUAUCUAGAAGUCAGUCCAUCCGGUCCUGGAGAUUUACCCAAUUGCAUGUUUUGAAUGGCACCUUCUAUCUCCUGUUCAGUUAUUUUAUAGUUCAACAUUAAUUUAUUUUCUUGAGAGAUUUUUUGUAAUCCAUUUGUUUUCAAAAAUCGAUCUAAAUCGGUUUCUUUCAGUGGUCCUUGUGUAUAUAGUUGUUUAAAGUACCUCUGGAAACAAUUUCUAAUCUCAGCUGGGUUCUGUAUAUUCCUUCCUUCCACUUCUAAAUUUGUAACUGUAUUUAAUUUUUGUCUUUUUUUCAUUUGCCAGGCCAACAAUUUCCCACAUUUGUUAGCUGAUUCAAAUGUCUUUUGUCUCAUUUGUUUAAUUUUCCAUUCUAUCUCUUGGUUCAUCAUUUUCAUAUAUUGCACUUGAUAUAAUUUUAUUUCUCUCAGAAUCUCUUGAGACUUUGGUUUUGUUCUCAAUCUUUUUUCACUUUCCUUUAUUUUCUCCAAUAUUUUAUCCUUCUUCUCAUUUUGGAUUCUCUUCUUUAAUGCAUUCUGUUGUAUCAAGAACCCUCUCAUAACCGCUUUGCUUGCGUCCCAGAUUACUCUUUUUCCACAUUGGUGCUCAUAUUUAUCUCAAAAUAGUCUCUCAAGGUUUUUUGGGCCUUCUUAAGCACUUCUUCAUCUCUAAAUAAGGUGUCAUUCAUCCUCCAUCUAAAGGAGCCAGUUGGUGUUAGUUUCAUUUCCACCUUAACAGCAUUAUGGUCGGAGCAGGUUUUUGGGCAGAUUUCCACUUUUCUUGUCUUUGGUGCCAUUCCUCUAGUUACCCAUAUUUGGUCAAUUCUUGUCCAUGUCAUUUUGGCUUCAGAAAAGAAGGUUCCUUCUUUAGCCAUGGGGUUCCUUGUUCUCCAAAUAUUGACUAAGUCCAAGUUGUCUGUCAUCUCAAAAAAAGUUUUCGGUAGUCUACCAUCCUUAGUGACUACCUGUCUUUGUGCCUUGUCCAUAUGUGUAGAUACCACUCCAUUCAUGUCUCCCAUCAAAAUCAUGUUGUAAUCCAGAUAGUCCAUCAGGGUCUCAUGCAACUUCUUAAAAAAUUCAGAUUUAACCUCAUUAGGUGAAUAGAUUCAUACUAUCAAAAUUUUUUCUCCUUGUGUUUGAAUUUCGAUUGCCACAAAUCUUCCUUGGUCAUCUUUAAAGAUAAAUUUCGGUGAUAAUCUGUCCUUUGCAUAAAUCACAACCCCUCUUUUUUAACCUUGUCCGAUGAAAUAAACUCCUGCCCAAGUCUUUUAUUAAUCAAUAGUUUCCUGUGUAGCCUUGUUAUAUGUGUUUCUUGUAGGCAAAUCAAGUCCAAUUGUUCCUUUUUAAUAAAUGAAACACAGAUCUCCUUUUCUGGGGGGAGUUCAAGCCAUUACAAUUCCAGCUUAAUAGUUGCAGAGCCAUAAUGUAACUACUUUACUUCUCCUCCAACAGCACCCAGGGCCUGUUCCUGUUCUGUCGGUGGUAUCACCUUUUUCAGGCGGUCUUUUAGUUCCAGAGAUAAAUCUGGUAUGUCUAAAGUUUCUCUUACAAGUUCUCUUAGCUCUCCUGUGACUUUCUUCUGCAGGUCUUCUCCGUGGUCUCUCCAAAAUUUGUCUUUGUCGUCUUCUGAUCUUAUUUUUAUCUUCUUUCCUUUAUAGCUAAAGGAUAGGCCUUAGGGGAAUUCCCACCUAAAAAUAAUUCCGUUGCUUUUCAGCAGAGUAACCAAAUCUUUAUAGUUGGACCUAAGGUCCAAAGGAUGUUUCGGGAUAUCCUUCAAUAUCUCCACUUUUGACUGUUGUAUUUCCAAGGUCUUCUGGAAAUGCAGGCUCAAGAUUUUAUCUCUCUCUUCUUUUGUUUGGAGGGUGAUCAAACAGUCUCUCACCCUGUUCUUUCUCCCUCCUCUUCCAAGCCUAAAAGCACUCACUAUCUUGAAACUGUCCUUCCCCAAAUCUGGGUUCCAAAAGUCUGCAAAUUCCUGCGUAAGAAAUUCAAUCAAAUUGUCCUUCUCCACUUCAGGUACAGCCCUGACCCUUAAAUUCACUUGUUUCUCCUUCAACUCGAUCAUAGACAAAAUUGACUUAUGGUCUUCAAGUUGUUUAUGUAGCGGUGGUAUCUUCUCUUCUACCACAGUAGCUGUAGCAGUAGCAAUUUCUUUAGCCUCUUCGGCUGUCUUACGUGUCGAAGUAGAUUCCUGUAAUAGUUUCUGAAUAGUUUCUGUAUUAGUAUUUACCUUCUGUCCCAAAUUAUUAAUACUUGUCGUAUUUUGAUUAAUACUUGUCGUGUUUUGAUCAAUUUUACCCGAUGCCUCGGCUACUUGUUUACUUAUUCUUUCCAAAGAUUCAUUAAUUUUAGCUAGUGCCUGAGCCAGGGCAUCAUCAGCUGCCAUGCCUUUGGGUUUAGAUUGUGCCGAUGAGGUUGCUGUUGGUAAACCAGGAGGGCCAGAUGUCGAAGCCCUUCUUUGCAGCCCACCGUCUGUAUGAAAUACUUUGCCAGACCUUGUUGCUUGUAACAAAUCUAUCUUCUCUUUCCCAUCUGCCAUAACCCUCAAGAUAUAAGCCAGGGUCAGUCUCACAGUCAGAGUCAGAGUUGUUUUGAAGUGGAAAGUUCCCUUGGGAAAUUGAAGUGGAAAAUUCCCUUAAGCCAGCUGCAGUUGUAACAGAUUCAAACUUCCUCUAGGGGACACUGUAACAGUCUAAAAUGUCUUAAAAUAAUUAACUUCUCCCUUUAGCCCCCCAAUUCACCGAAAAGACAACAGUUUCUGUCUCAAUCUGUUACUUUAAAACCAGGAGAUACCUGUCAGCAAUAUUGUAACCAAGUUGUAUCUCCGAUGCAGAGUUAGCUGUCAAAAAGUACUUUCAUCGACAGCGCAGUUUCCAAUACGGCAGAACCCGUUCCAGGGUUUUAAGCGGUGGUUUUUGUUUCCUCUUCCUCUCUUUUUUCAGGGAAAUAACGUUCAAACCUUCUCCCCCCUCCUCCCCUGCAGUCAAGGGGGGAAAAUCACAGUUUUGAUGCUCGAAUUAUAAUCCUUUUCCAACGUCUUUUAAAGCUUCCGCUUUCAAGUUCAAUGCUUUACUCCGUUUACAAGAGCGGGAGGCAGACUUCCUUUUUAUACCUCUCCGCUUCGGUACUGAAUUAUUCAAAAGUUUUGUAAAGUUCCUUUAAUUGGAAAGUUAACCUACUCACGGAUCAUUGUUUCAAAGCCAAAUUGUCCCAGGAAAAAGGCAGCGCUCUCCGGCAACAGCUGCGCGGCUUCACUCCACGGAAGAAGCAGACGACUCACAGCACAGCGCCACUUCCCCGCUCAGCUCCGGAGCCCGUUGCCGGGUUCCUUUGCUGAUUGGGGGGGCGCAAAGGUGCCCGCCGAGUCCCACGGUCACAGGCUUCACCCGCCUGUGAUUUUUGAAGGGUCCCCGCUGCGCCGUAGCGGUGCAGACCCUAUUUCCGUGGAGCCAGUUCCCUCCAGAUCAGAGGGAAUCCGCCAUUACCGAUGGCGCCACCCCGGAAGUUCAAGAGCAGCUCAUGCUCUGGGUCCAGACAGAACACUAAGAAGCUUGUACUAUGCUAGAAUCUGCACACCAGAUUCCUAUAUCAAUAUGAAACGAUAUGCAAGGUUAUCAAAUGGUCUGAUGUCCUGUCAAAAGCCAAAACCAAACCAACUAGGGAGAGGGUUUUCAUAAAAAGGAAUUGGAAAUGGGUGCUGUCUCAAAAUAAGCUACUUCUCUCAAGCUAACCUAAGCCUUUGGAAAUCUUGUCACAAGAGGAGCGUAAAGUUUGUGAAGAUGGUGUAUAAGCACAGAGAAUAUCUAAGGAGAAGUGGUGUAUCAGUCUCAAGAUUAUUCCAAAAUGUGGCAUCACCAGCUCCUCUGCUUCCACAUACAGCAACACCUCCAAAAAGUCCUCGAUCCAAGGCAGACUAUCCUGCUUUAGUUGACAUAUACUCUGCAGGUGACAAUCCUGACUAGCCAGCUGACCUGGACCCCAAGGAACCCCAUAACUCAGACAGCCCUGGGUCCUUGCACUUGAGAAAUCUGGGGAAGGACCUACUUGACAGAACUGAAAAGAAUUGAUUGCAUGCCUUUUGUGCUCUGCCAUAAGAAGCCCAGAAUGAAAUAUUCUCCAGAUUUGACCUCUGACGUUCCUGCCUAAUGAGUUUGAAGAAGGAACACAAGGGCUCAUGCAAGUAGAACUUGACCCUUUGUGCUCCAGAUCCAGCCCACCAGAUAUUCCAGCGUGAGUUGAAUUUAUGGGCUGAAAAGCCACCUCCUCCCACCAGCAGGUUAAUGAACCCUCUUUCCUACCAAUUGGAGAUGACAAGCUUCCCAAAGAUUUGGUCCCCAUGCAAGAGGCAAAUAUGGCCAAAACACCUGCCUGGCUUGCAAUGAGAGAGCUCAAAGAGCGUCAACAGGGCUCUUCAUACAAAGAACCAAGCAUGCAGGCACCUACAAUACAUGUACAGAGGUACCUCGGGUUCCAUACGCUUCAGGUUACAGACUCCGUGAACCCAGAAAUAGUGCUUCAGGUUAAAAACUUUGCUUCAGGGUGAGAACAGAAAUUGUGCUCCAGCGGCACAGUGGCAGCAGGAGGCCCCAUUAGCUAAAGUGGUGCUUCAGGUUAAGAACAGUUUCAGGUUAAGUACGGAUCUCUGGAACGAAUUAAGUACUUAACCUGAGGUACCACUGUAAUAGCUACUGUGCUAUUUUCUGCCCAUGCUCUGGGGUUGCAGUUUUCAGGCUUGGGGACAGGGUGGUGACUGGUUUUUGCACCAAGUUCUGUCCAUAAGCCCCACUGAGUUCAAGGGUUCCACCUUGAGGUCACUACUGGACAGACCCUGCCAGCCUUACGAAGUCGGGUGAUUAGCAAACAGGGGAAACUGGAACGACAGGAGAUGUUUCGAAAUGGGGCUUCUGUUGGGAAGGGGCUGCCCCAUUUGUGCUUCUCCAGGGGCAGGAGAAUAUCUAGGGCAGGAGAAUCCCUGCAGGGCCUCUGAGGCUCCCUUUGCUUCUUCCUCCCUCCCAGGACCCUGCAGCUUCUUUUGGCUCCUUGACUCCUCAGGAAGGAUGAAAGAGAAGGAUCCUGCAAAGCUAACGAGGAUGGAAGGGGGAAGAUGGACGGUUGACCUGGUCCGGCUGUCUCCUGCAUCCCUCCCCACAACCUCUGAGCGUUCCCUCCCAGGGACCUCCGAGAGAUCUGG